rnacentral:rRNA from 1 species
GGCAACCGCGGCUCUCAGGGGGUAGCUUAGAAUCGAAGCGGACGACGCCACAUAUAUACCGCGGCCGCGGCGGCCCCUCUCCCUCGUCCGUCAGAUACGCGCCCUCGCAUCGCCGCCGAAGCCCAUCGCUCUCACUCUCCGAACCCCGCCGACGCCAGCGCGGGCUCCUGCUCCGGAGGCUUCGGCCGCAAUGGCUCUCCCCAACACCCCGCCCGUGGACUACCCCAGCUUCAAGCUCGUCCUCGUCGGCGACGGCGGCACCGGCAAGACGACGUUCGUGAAGAGGCACGUCACCGGGGAGUUCGAGAAGAAGUACGAACCGACGAUCGGCGUGGAGGUGCGGCCGCUGGACUUCCAGACGAGCCACGGCAAGAUCAGGUUCUACUGCUGGGACACGGCCGGACAGGAGAAGUUCGGUGGCCUCCGUGACGGAUACUACAUCCAUGGCCAGUGUGCAAUCAUCAUGUUCGAUGUCACCUCCCGACUCACCUACAAGAACGUCCCCACCUGGCACAGAGACAUCUGCAGGGUGUGCGAGAACAUCCCGAUCGUCCUGUGCGGCAACAAGGUGGACGUGAAGAACCGGCAGGUGAAAGCCAAGAUGGUGACCUUCCACAGGAAGAAGAACCUCCAGUACUACGAGAUCUCUGCCAAGAGCAACUACAACUUCGAGAAGCCUUUCCUCUACCUUGCAAGGAAGCUCUCAGGGGACAUGACCCUCCGGUUCGUCGAGGAGACGGCCCUCCUCCCCGCCGACGUGACCGUCGACCUCGCCGCGCAGCAACAGAUUGAGGCAGAGAUAGCAGCUGCGGCGGCAAUGCCCCUCCCGGAUGACGAUGAUGACAACAUCAUGGACUGAGCUGAUCAAUUGGAGGCUGUGCCUAGUUUAGUAGCAGCAUAUAUAGUUUCAAUCAAACUCUUAUAAGAAGUGAGACUUCUGUAUCCGUAUCAGACAUUCAGUAGGCAUCUGAUGACGAUGGUUUGUGCGAUAGUUCCAUGUUUUUCUCAGUGGUAGUUGAUCUGAGAUUUCUUUGUCGAGUGCUUGUCAAAACCGAACGAAUGUGAAGGUUAAUCGGUUUCUUUACCAUUCUGGAGUGUGGUGUUCAUUAGAAAAAUCUAAAGAAAAAUCCACUUUUUGCUAUUCCUCGGUGAGGCAACAAAGCUCGAGAGCUUGCUUUGCAUUACAUGAAUUUAGUUUAAAGUUUGUGGAUAAGUUCCUUCGCAUUUAAUAUUUGUUCAAAGUUAUGAAACCAUUCACUAGUACUCCCCUCCGUCGCAUAAUAUAAGAGCGUUUUUUACACUAGUAUUCAAGUUUACUUCAUUGCUUUCCAGUAGAAAAAAGUUUACUUCAGAGCUGCUGAAAAUUGUUUUUCUUAGGAGUUGCUGAAAAUUAGUCGGAG